ensembl:lncRNA SPATA3-AS1 SPATA3 antisense RNA 1 (head to head)
CUUCUCUGCAGACACCAGCCUGGUGUCCUCCUUCAUCCCAGGCUGCCAGGCUAGGCAGGGGACAGCGGCUGCCCUGGUCCUCACAGCCCUGGCUACGGGGCUGGUGACAGCCAGAUCCUCAUGCUUCUGCGACCUGAGCGCUGCCUUCAGACACCUCUCUGCUGGCGUGUUCCUGGGUCCAUGAUGGAAGAAGGAAAAGUAUUUUUAAAAGACAAUCUGAAGCUCAUACUGUGACUGCAACAUAAAAUGUGUUCACCUGAGGAGACUGCUUUCAUCGCCAGUGUGUCACAGAUGGUGGAAACCUCAGAAGGCCACAGUCCAGAGUAGGGGCUUAAUGCAAGCUGCUGGAACUGAAUAAAGAAGGUCUCUGAUGGUUCUGGUUUCCUGGGCACCUAGAAUAAGUGUGUCACCAUUUGUCCUGAAGCUGACUUCUCUGAGCUGGAUGGCACCCUGGACAUCAACCAGCCCUUCACCUUCACGUCACACAGGAGGGACACUGGUCCAUAGAGAGGAUGCCUGCUCUGGUCACCAGCUGGAGAGUGGCAGACCUUGGGUACCUGACCUUUGGACUCUGCCACACAGAGCACUUCCUCAGUCCCUCCUGCUGCCCCUGGCAGGGUGGAGCUGGCAGUUCCAGGCUUCUGUGGGUACCAGCGGCCUGUCAAAACGCCAGGAAAGGUCCUCAGGAAAACAAGACAGAAAGCAUAGAACUCGUUUGCUGCCCAGCACGCGGGGUGAGCAGAGUGUCAUGAUGAGGCAGUACGGAGGGAACAAGGACGGUCACAGAGACUGGAAACCCAACGGGCAGCUGAUCCAGGACCGUCCACUUCCAAGCCAGCAGGAGGAUGGAAAAGCAGAAUGGAGGGGAAACAACCUCCUUUGCAGGGCGUGACUCGGAAGUUGGACACAUCAUUUCCAGCCACAUUCCAUGGACCAGAAUUAGCCCUGUGACCAACUCUGGCUGCCAGAAAAUCUGGGAAAUACAGUCUCUGCUUGGGCGAUCAGGCAGGCAGUUAUAUCUUUGGGAACAUCUCUCACCCCCUGGGAACACCUGAGCAGAAACUGAAGGACAUUUAACAGAUUCUCCUUUGUGUCUAAUAAGAAUUGCCCCCAUCAGUCGGGGCUGUCCUAGGUGCUGGGUACAUAGGUCAUCUAUACACAACCCAGCAAUGGAGAGCACACCAUUCCCAGGCUGCAGAUGCAGAAACUGUGGCUCGGAGAGUUAAGCGUCUUGUUCAGAUUCAGUCAGCUGGUAGAUGGCAGGUCUGGGAUUGAGACCCAGGCCUGGCUGGUCCUGCCAGGACACAGUAUCACAGCUUUGACUGGGAGCUUCUUUUUGUUUACAUAUAUUUUUUAUGCUCAAUGUGCAUUCCUUUUGAAAUACACAGAAAAGGGAAAGAA